UGUGCCACGCGGCCCGCCUGCCUCCCACCCGCACUCCGCCUCGUCCUGCCAUCGCGUCGCUCUCGCGCUCCCGCGGCCUCGCGCGACCUUUCGCCGCUCCGCCGUCGCCUCCUGCGGGACCCGAGUGAGGCCGGCCAAGUGAGGGCUUCUGGCUCCGAAAAACCUGUCAGAGCGACUGACAGACACGGAAAAGUCCACGAGAAAACACUGAAAAGUUAUGACCAUAGACGAAAGUCUUGAAAAAUAAUAUGAUCUAAGUGAUGCUAAAAACAUCGUUUGAUAUGCAAAAGAAAUAAAAAAAAAAAUCAGAAAGUGUGGGAUCUGGUGCUAAAAAGUGUGACUUAGAGUAGGAUUUGCUCUUAGUGAAGUGUUCCUAAGCCUUCGCCAGCCACGAGGCGGGCUCUGAGGACUCGCUUUGAAGAACGGAUUCGGACGAGGCGCGGAGUAGCUGUGUCACUCGGUAAUGAGAUCUCAUGACUUGAGGCCUCUGCGUGCUCUUGGCGCCGGGUUAUGAGGAUGAUAGUGAUAAAAAUAUAAAUAUAAGAUGCGUUGAAGUGAACUAUAAGUGACGAUCAUAACUAUCAUUAUAGCAUAGUAUCUACUUAAACUUUGAUACAAGAACACAGAAUUUAAAAA